CCUACGGGUGGCAGCAGUGGGGAAUAUUGCACAAUGGGGGAAACCCUGAUGCAGCAACGCCGCGUGAGUGAAGAAGUAUUUCGGUAUGUAAAGCUCUAUCAGCAGGGAAGAAGAUGACGGUACCUGAGUAAGAAGCCACGGCAAACUACGUGCCAGCAGCCGCGGUAAUACGUAGGGGGCAAGCGUUAUCCGGAUUUACUGGGUGUAAAGGGAGCGCAGACGGCAGUGCAAGUCAGCGGUAAAAUUGCGGGGCUCAACCCCGUACUGCCGUUGAAACUGCAUCCCUUGAGUGCGCGAGAAGUAUGCGGAAUGCGUGGUGUAGCGGUGAAAUGCAUAGAUAUCACGCAGAACUCCGAUUGCGAAGGCAGCAUACCGGCGCGCAACUGACGCUGAUGCACGAAAGCGUGGGUAUCGAACAGGAUUAGAUACCCUAGUAGUC
rnacentral:rRNA from 1 species